rnacentral:rRNA from 1 species
UACGGAGGGGGGUAGCGUUGUUCGGAAUUACUGGGCGUAAAGCGCACGUAGGCGGAUUAGUAGGUCAGGGGUGAAAUCCCGGGGCUCAACCUCGGAUCUGCCUUUGAUACUGCUGAUCUCGAGUCCGGAAGAGGUGAGUGGAAUUCCUAGUGUAGAGGUGAAAUUCGUAGAUAUUAGGAAGAACCCCAGUGGCGAAGGCGGCUCACUGGUCCGGUACUGACGCUGAGGUGCGAAAGCGUGGGGAGCAAACAGG